rnacentral:rRNA from 1 species
GUGGCGGCAGUCUAGGAAAGUGAUGGGGCCGCGGCCGCCGAGCUGCAAGGAGAAGCGCUCGGCGGGGACACGAUUGGGGGCUUCCAUGGUAGGCACGAAGGAGACGAUCGGACUCUGCUUGUCCCUGAUGAAGCAGCCGAGGAUGGGAGGGCUGCGGCGGUGGCGGAGGCGGAAGCGGCUGGCGAAGCCGGGGUCGGAGACGAGGCGGCGCCAGCGGUCGCAGACGGCGGAGGCGCGCGGGAGGGAGGACGGAUCCGGGGAGAGGCGGAGGAGGAUCUCGUCGAGCAGGUCGUCGUCCUCCAGCGGCGGCGCCGACGUCGGGCGGGGGCGGAGGCGGCGGUGGCGGCGGUGGCUGGACGUCAUCUCGCCCUCCUCACUUGCUCGUGUGAGGUGGGGUGGGGUGGGGUGCGGACGUGCGGUGGACUCAAGCUGCAGUUUGGCCCAAAGGAACGCUGGAGAGGAGAAAAUUGA